UACGUAGGGCGCAAGCGUUGUCCGGAAUUAUUGGGCGUAAAGAGCUCGUAGGCGGCUUGUCACGUCGGGUGUGAAAGCCCGGGGCUUAACCCCGGGUCUGCAUUCGAUACGGGCUAGCUAGAGUGUGGUAGGGGAGAUCGGAAUUCCUGGUGUAGCGGUGAAAUGCGCAGAUAUCAGGAGGAACACCGGUGGCGAAGGCGGGUCUCUGGGCCUUACCUGACGCUGAGGAGCGAAAGCAUGGGGAGCAAACAGG
rnacentral:rRNA from 1 species